rnacentral:rRNA from 1 species
CCCGCCGCUGUGGCACAAAAUUGGCUAGAAAUUUUAAUUAAAUCUUAAUAACAUUUAAUUAUUAGGAAAAUUGAAUUUUCUGCUUAAUAAUACUCUAUUUUAAGGCAUAAAAAAUUUAAUAGGACUUUUCCAGUCAAACCAAACCUAAUUU